GCACCGGUAGCUCAGCUGGAUAGAGCACUUGACUACGAAUCAAGGGGUCGGGGAUUCGAAUUCUCCCCGGUGCACCA
rnacentral:tRNA from 2 species